GGUCAGUGAUAUGAUGGUGUGUAUUCACUGAAUCCAAAGUUGAGAUGAGUUGUAAAAUUACACUGAGACUGG